rnacentral:rRNA from 1 species
ANUGCAGUCGACGCUUUGUGGUUCAACUGAUUUGAAGAGCUUGCUCAGAUAUGACGAUGGACAUUGCAAAGAGUGGCGAACGGGUGAGUAACACGUGGGAAACCUACCUCUUAGCAGGGGAUAACAUUUGGAAACAGAUGCUAAUACCGUAUAACAAUAGCAACCGCAUGGUUGCUACUUAAAAGAUGGUUCUGCUAUCACUAAGAGAUGGUCCCGCGGUGCAUUAGUUAGUUGGUGAGGUAAUGGCUCACCAAGACGAUGAUGCAUAGCCGAGUUGAGAGACUGAUCGGCCACAAUGGGACUGAGACACGGCCCAUACUCCUACGGGAGGCAGCAGUAGGGAAUCUUCCACAAUGGGCGAAAGCCUGAUGGAGCAACGCCGCGUGUGUGAUGAAGGGUUUCGGCUCGUAAAACACUGUUGUAAGAGAAGAAUGACAUUGAGAGUAACUGUUCAAUGUGUGACGGUAUCUUACCAGAAAGGAACGGCUAAAUACGUGCCAGCAGCCGCGGU